CCUACGGGAGGCAGCAGUGGGGAAUUUUGGACAAUGGGCGCAAGCCUGAUCCAGCAAUGCCGCGUGCAGGAUGAAGGCCUUCGGGUUGUAAACUGCUUUUGUACGGAACGAAACGGCCCUUUCUAAUACAAGGGGCUAAUGACGGUACCGUAAGAAUAAGCACCGGCUAACUACGUGCCAGCAGCCGCGGUAAUACGUAGGGUGCGAGCGUUAAUCGGAAUUACUGGGCGUAAAGCGUGCGCAGGCGGUUAUAUAAGACAGAUGUGAAAUCCCCGGGCUCAACCUGGGACCUGCAUUUGUGACUGUAUAGCUAGAGUACGGUAGAGGGGGAUGGAAUUCCGCGUGUAGCAGUGAAAUGCGUAGAUAUGCGGAGGAACACCGAUGGCGAAGGCAAUCCCCUGGACCUGUACUGACGCUCAUGCACGAAAGCGUGGGGAGCAAACAGGAUUAGAUACCCUGGUAGUCCACGCCCUAAACGAUGUCAACUGGUUGUUGGGUCUUCACUGACUCAGUAACGAAGCUAACGCGUGAAGUUGACCGCCUGGGGAGUACGGCCGCAAGGUUGAAACUANAGAAUUGACGG
rnacentral:rRNA from 1 species